rnacentral:rRNA from 1 species
UAUUGGACAAUGGGGGAAACCCUGAUCCAGCGAUGCCGCGUGAGUGAAGAAGGCCUCCGGGCUGUAAAGCUCUUUCAGUGGGGAAGAUAAUGACGGUACCCACAGAAGAAGGACCGGCUAACUUCGUGCCAGCAGCCGCGGUAAUACGAAGGGUCCUAGCGUUGUUCGGAAUUACUGGGCGUAAAGGGCGCGUAGGCGGCUUAUUAAGUCAGGUGUGAAAGCCCCAAGCUUAACUUGGGAACUCCACUUGAUACUGGUAGGCUAGAGAUCGGAAGAGGUGAGUGGAAUUCCUAGUGUAGAGGUGAAAUUCGUAGAUAUUAGGAAGAACACCAGUGGCGAAGGCGGCUCACUUUCCGAUACUGUCGUAAGGCGCGAAA